UGCAAAUUGCUGAUGGACCACAGUGCAACCAGCAACCAGUAUCCUUCCAUUCACAUGGACAUUGUUUGUGGAACUGCUUGAACAAGCUGUGAUCAGUACUGCGUCAAUGGAUUCCAGUCUAAGCACUUGGGAGCAUCAUUAUGCCAACCUGGAUCUGGAGAACGGCCUGCCUAACUGGGGUAUGUUAUAUCCAGCUUCAGCAUAACGUAUCCCUGAAAUAAAUAUCCAUUCCAUGCGAGGGCUCAGCUGCGUCAUGAAGAUGAAUUCAACGAGGAUCAUGAUAGAUUAACUAGAUAGGAUAGAUAGAUAGAUAGGAUAGAUCGCUAGAUAGAUAGAUAGGAUAUAGUCGGGCUAGAUAUUUGGUUAGCUUUCAGUUAGUUUGUCUUUUUUAUCCCUAACUCAAGUUCUUAAAGGCUUUAAAUUUAUCCAUCUUCAGAUGCAUAAUUCUUAUUUCUACUAAUGUGAAUGUUAGGGACCAUUGUCAAGUGUCCGAAUUUUCUACAAAUGCUUGAUCGAUCAACAAUUUGAAAAGAUAACCUUAUGUUCAUUUGAUGUUAUUUCAUUUUUAAAUCUAGUUGAAACUUAUAGAUUUAGAAAUGAAUUAGCUGAAUAAUUACAUCAUAGGGGUUCGAUCCAUUCAUGAAGAUGCUUUAUGCCCAAUUUUGAGGGACUUAAAUUGUUUGCAAUUAAUUGUUUUCACUUACAUUUACCUGAGAAUUUAUAACUCAUCCAAUUGUCUUCCAAGAACUCAAAAAGGCUUCUUGGUAUUAAGCUCCUGGCAACUUUCUAUCAGAGUGCAGCAAUUCAAUUUGCAGCGUUUUCAUAAUGAGUGAUAAACAAAUGAAAAUGAAAAUGAGAGCGUCCUUGGCAUGUCACAUUCAUAGAGCACAACCCCAAUACCCAUCUUCUGCUCCGUUUUCCAGCUGCGAAUGUGUCUCUUCUGAAAAGCUAAGCAAAUGCGUGUGAAAAUUAUGCAAACAGGCAGCACAAGUGAAAAGCAUGACCUUUGGCAGCCGCAAUGAAAAACAAACUAGGCAAAUAGAGUUCAUUAGCGAGCAUGGAGAAUGUUCCGAAUGUGUGUCGGUUAUAUUUAUUUAACUCAUUUUACUCGUUCUAUUUUUUGAAAUAAGGCAAACAUUUCGAAUGGAAUUAUGUGACGCGACAGUUGGCCAAAAUGCAAUAGCAAAUAUUUAAUGAUGGCCAAAUAUGUAUUGGUUAAGUAGUUCUUGCCAAGUAUUCAGAUUAUCAAGCGCACCAGAACAAAUAUUAAUAGAGUUGAACUCUUAAAAUUGCGAGCAUGAGAGCGCUUAUUUGGCGUCCAUACUCCAUUAUAGACAAUCACAUCGUCUGCCUUGACUUGGCCGGGCACUUUCUCCGUCAUGUGCUCAUAUUCCCACUCCAUGCCUCGUUUGUCUAUGUAUUUGUAGACGGUCCUUCCGUCACUUUUCACCAUGGACUCAUCUUUGGCGCAUAAGAGGGUCUUUCGAAAUAUUGUUCAUAUAUAGAUGAUGAUAUUGAUUGCAGCUGCAAUACACUUACCCAAAGGCCGAUCAGGUGUAUUAUAAAAACCAGAUAUUUGGAGUUCGUCAUUUCAUAAAAAGUAAUCGAGUAAAGGUUGUGGAAAUUAUAAAAUGUAACAGAGGCCAACCAAAAAUUCCACUACGAAA